rnacentral:rRNA from 1 species
CUUGCUAGGUGGAUUAGUGGCGCACGGGUGAGUAAUAUAUAGAUAACGUGCCUCUUAGUCUGGGAUAGCCAUUGGAAACGAUGAUUAAUACUAGAUACUCCUUCUAACUCUAAUGUUAGUCGGGAAAGUUUUUCGCUAAGAGAUCGGUCUAUAUCCCAUCAGCUAGUUGGUAGUGUAAGAGACUACCAAGGCAAUGACGGGUAGCGGGUUUGAGAGGAUGAUCCGCCACACUGGUACUGAGACACGGACCAGACUCCUACGGGAGGCAGCAGUGAGGAAUAUUGCACAAUGGAGGAAACUCUGAUGCAGCAACGCCGCGUGGAGGAUGACGCAUUUCGGUGUGUAAACUCCUUUUAUAUGUCAAGAAAAUGACGGUAGCAUAUGAAUAAGCACCGGCUAACUCCGUGCCAGCAGCCGCGGUAAUACGGAGGGUGCAAGCGUUAUUCGGAAUCACUGGGCGUAAAGGACGCGUAGGCGGGAUGCCAAGUCUGAUGU